AAGCUUUAAAUUCUUCUUUUGAGUGUCGAAUGGGCCGCAGCUUGUGUCUCCAUAAUGGAGACAGCCAAUGGUUUCUUGUCGUCAACAUUGCUCGUGGAUGGAAGCGCUGUGAUGGCUUGCAUCAUAAAAAGAGUUAGUUACGCGUGAGGGUGCCUAAGCUUCUUCUAUGAGUAGAAUAUGGCGUCCUUGAAGCUUGGUGAUGUAUUUAUUUCAUCUUUAAUAAUAUGUUUCCCUGAAAGAAGAUUCCCUGCAAUUCCAUGGUAUUUUAAUAUUUGAAAUAUGCUUCCGGUAAAAUAUUUGUUAAAUGUCUUUUUGAGGUGGAUAAUGGUUUGAAUGUGCCGUUGCCCUGCUAGCGAGCCCCAUUAUCUUGACUCCGAGCUCGACGGUUUCCCUCAAAGGACAUCAACGGCUGAAAGUGAACGUGGCAGGAUUUUGAAUAUCAAGCUUGAUCAGAUUGGAAAAGCGACGCAUUUGUCCUCCGUGUCGACCCCUUGUUGCCUCCGAUAAAAGCAAUUGGGAAGCGAGUGCUGAAUACACACUCGCUGGAUAUUUGUAGACAAAACCAUGUUGGCAACUGUAAAGUUCCGAAUGAAGUAAGCUUGUGUUUCUCCGAAUGUCUAAUGUAUCAGAACGUGAUGGUGUUUGGCCUGAACGACCCACAGAGGCAAUCUGAAAACCGCUCCCCGUGACUGCUGCUCAAUUCUCUUCCACUAUCAUCUCACAGGACAGCUUCCAACCGGCUUAAGAACAUUACAGAUAUUAAUACACGAGGAGUGUGUGGGGGCGAAAGCAAAUAUUUAUAAGUGGCCUUUUUUUUUUACACACUGGAUGAAAACUAUUUCUCUUCUGAGAUGGUCGUGGACGCGGUCGAUGCGUUAGGAUGACUGACUGAUUGCUUCGCAUGAACAAAAUGUUGUAUAGGUUUUCACUGGAGUAUUUAAGAUGUUGUGUAUGGGUGCUUCACUUGAGGCAGGUUUCACGUUACAUUCCAGUUCUUCAAUUUGACCAAAUCUGCAUUAAAACAAUUCCUCAAAGCCCCAUUUGUGUGAAACAAAACAUUGAAGAGAAUUGCGUGGUGGAGCUUGAAAUCCUGUUCUUUGUGUACAUUGCAACAAAACCUUAAAUCCCAGCCUAAUGUCUCCUUGAGGCACCCAUGUGGACAUUGUGUGCUUAAAACUGCUAGAUAGAGAUGAGGAUUGUGUCCCGUAAGUGGUUGACCUCCUCUCUGUCUGCGUAUCUAUUUGCUUCUAUUGUAAUUGUUCCAGAUUCAUUUCCAUGUGUCUUAUUACAGCCUAGGUGAUGUGAUAACACAAUUGUUGCAUCGCCCUGGCAGCCGUUUUUACAUCUUUUUCCAGAACUGACUCUGCUCAUUUGAGUUUUAGCAGUCGUCGGGCUUUAAAAAUGUGCUGCUGUUGUGAAAUCUCGCACUGGGCUGGGCCUAAUCAACUGUUUUUAUUGUUGUGUGUCAAGAGGACUAUUUCUGUAUACAGUAUGUGAAAAUGUUUUUAUUUCUCUUGACUAUAUUAUAAUGGGUUUUAACCUGUGGGAAAAAAAAAGGAAAAAGCUCAAAAAGAGAUAAGACCAAAUAAAAUGUAACACUCCUGAAUUGUUUGUCACCUUAUUCAUAUUAUCGCAGAAAAAGUGCUUUCAAAUCUGGGCUCAAUCAUUCAAGAAUGCUCAGAUGUCCCCUGAGUCUCUAUAAGGACAUACGUUUAUAUUUAACAUUUAAUUUAACUGUAUCCGUGUCAUUUUUAUAUAUGUUAAUUGUCUCUUAACUCACUUUCAGCUCUGGAAGCCCGGAGAGGGAUCCCUGAAACUUGUCAUAUCAAGUAAUUAUUUCAUGAUUUCCGGAUCAUCAUUCUGUGAUCAUAGGGAUGUUACAUUGAUUUUGUGAUUUUUAAAUUCUUUUGUUUCAACACGAUCACAUACAUUGUGAAAACAAGGUCCAUUUAGUAACUGUUCUGGAGCCUUCAGUCAUCAUUACACACUUCACUCUUCCCGGAAACGGGAAAUAUCACAAAUGUGUCUUAUGGCAAUCCAUCCAGCAGUUUUGCAAAUACUUUGAAUUGUAAUCCUUUGAUACAAAUGCUAUAUGGACCUGCCCUUGUCCUUUCUGCCUUUCUAUAAUCACCUCUGCAGGGCAGAUAUGAGCCAUUACCUUCAGCUGGCAGCUCCAGUUGAUAUUCAAUUGAAAACCAUCUCAAUCUUGGCACAGAAGCGAAAGGAAACAUUCUGUCAUUAUCAUAUUACACCAUCUUCUCAUAUCACUUACGGUCCAUCAAAUGGAAUGAAGGCUACCGUGGUUCAGUGAACACGUACACACCGUGUAUAUGUGUGCCACAUCUUCUAUUUCUGUACUGUAACUGUGGGUGGAGGCUUUUUGUCAGCAGUCAGAACUGCUGCUUUACAGCCACAGGCAGAUGAGGACCAGGUGAGGACGGCACCCUAAAACACACAUUCUGGACCACUUGUUCCCACAGGUGGAUGCACUCUUUUGGGGGAUUCUUGUGUCCACUGCAUUAGAACCUUGUCAUUGGGCCCUCAACUGGUCCGGCUGCGGGAUCCACCAUCACCGCUUAAUGACAAGCUGCGACCCAAAUCGAGGAAUCUUUUCACCUCUAAUUUGUUUAAUGAAAAAAUGUUGCACAGAGCCUGAGAUCGAACCGACAACCCUCUGAUUGGAGGACGACCAUGCUCCCCACUCACCCACAGUCGCUCCUGAGCAGUGCUUUCAUGCACAAACAUGAAAUAGUCCAACUACUUUACAACGUUUUAAUGCUGCAGUACACGUGGGCACAUAAACGUGCAUUUUGCUGAGUGCAUUUCAUUGUUAACUUUGAGGUGCAAAUACCCCAAACUGGAGGACGACUUUUUAUCUUAUUUUUAGUCUUCUAUUUUAUUCUUAUAUUGCACCAAGUCAAAUUCCUCUAUGUGUAACAUGUGUGGCAUUAAAUGGCUUCUGAUUCUUGCAUGUAUUUGUAUCUAGCUAAGCUCCGUGUUGGCCAUGACACCUAGCAAAGCAAUACAUUGAAAGAAGGAAAGCAGAAAAAUAACUGCGUGGCAUUCUUCUGAACACCAUGUAGGAGGCAAUUAAUAUUCAAGCCAUAUCUGGAUGCUUUCCCUUAUUUAAACUGCUGUGUAGCUCUUUGACAUUUGUUCUUGCUUCACAUCGGCCAAAGGGAGCUGGCGUGAAGGAGAAGCGGCUCCACCAGGACCAGAGAGGUGGACAGUGAGGCUGUGACAGAUGAGUACAAUCACAUAUGUCUUUAGACUGACCAUUUGUUGUCAAUUAAUGACAUUACUAGUGACUUAAUAGUGACUAAGAAGCCACGUAGGCUGUUGCAGUUUGGCCGGGUCUCGCAGUUGAACAGUAUUUCAGCACCGCAUCGUUAGUUAACUUUGUGGGUGUAAUGUUCUUACAACUCAUACCAAGGAACAUGUUAUUGAUGAUGGUAUUACAGUUGUGAACAUGACGUAUUGUUUUGUACUAGAGCCAAAUACGGCAUAUUCUGUAGAACAAGACAUUCUCCCAUGGACCCUGAGGUCUUACUUUUUCGCAUUAAUGUCAUUUUUCAAGCAUUUGUUCUGUGGCCGCCACAAAUAAUUCAAUGUUUGGGAAACCCUGCUAGCGUCCACAUUUGCUUUCUUUAAAAUGUCCCUAAGAAGAGUACCUCGCUUUGAAGCAAAUAUUACAUUGUAUUACCACUGUGGAAUUUUUAAGGCCCGUCACGUGAUGCCAUUAGGCAAAAAAUAACUUUUCCCAUAGAUUUACAUUUGAAAAUAAAGGGUCAAUAUUCUUGUAUAAGGAAAAGCAACUCCCCAAACAAAAAAACGUACGUAAAUGGCCCUCAUUGGUGAUGUAUUAAUGUAGAUUUCAACUUUGCCUGUACAGUACAAGCAAUGAUAAUAUCUUGUACUUUUUCAUAUUCAUUUGGCCACAUGGGCGCAGCGCUGACAUGUGAUGAUCAUCAUCUCAUCUCCUCAUGAAGCUGCAAUUGCAACAAACAUUGCAUAUUUGACAAACACAGAGCAACCUUGGCAAUCAUUUAGUAAAUUUUGUUUGUCUAUUAGCCCGGUAAGUACAACAUUUACUCUACUUUUAACUCUGUUUUGUUCCCUGGUUUUAGACUAUUGACAAAAAAAAGUGGCCCAUCAGAACCUGAAUGCUCUGUAAGCUUGUCGGUUAACAAAACAUUUUGUUUGUCGGCUGCCUAGCCUGCCUGAAUUUUUUUUACUGUUUAUUCUUAGAAUUAUAUAUACAGUAUGUGUGUUAUUCCAACUGUUUAGACCUUACGAUAACAAAUGUAGCAGUUACGCAUAAUGAAAUAGAAAACAAAUGGUAGAACAAGCAGUACUUUUACCGUCCUUUCACUGCGGACGACUAUGGAGCCAAAUCCAGGUCAAAAGUUUUGUUCAUUUGAAAAACAAAUGUGAACCUAAAAGUUCAAGUUUUGUUGUUGAACAUUGAAAAAUGUAUUCAAAAUAAAAAUAAGUGGACGAAAAAUAUUUUCGGGAUGAAUAUAGUUCUGACUCAGCUCUAUAUUUUUUUGGAAUAAAAUAUAUUUUUUCAAUCUUCACUUAUAUAUUUUUUUGAUACU
ensembl:lncRNA